rnacentral:rRNA from 1 species
AUACGUAGGUGGCGAGCGUUGUCCGGAUUUACUGGGUGUAAAGGGCGCGUAGGCGGGCUAUCAAGUCAGAUGUGAAAUACCGGGGCUUAACUCCGGAGCUGCAUUUGAAACUGACAGUCUUGAGUAUCGGAGAGGAAAGCGGAAUUCCUAGUGUAGCGGUGAAAUGCGUAGAUAUUAGGAGGAACACCAGUGGCGAAGGCGGCUUUCUGGACGACAACUGACGCUGAGGCGCGAAAGUGUGGGGAGCAAACAGGAUUAGAUACCCUGGUAGUCCACACCGUAAACGAUGGAUACUAGGUGUAGGAGGUAUCGACCCCUUCUGUGCCGGAGUUAACACAAUAAGUAUCCCACCUGGGGAGUACGGCCGCAAGGCUGAAACUCAAAGGAAUUGACGGGG